AACUAGCCCUGAUGGAAGGGAAAAUCCUUUUUUGUCUCGCUUUUUAGAGACCAAAAAGAUUGGAAUGACAGCAGGAAUCCAU
rnacentral:sRNA from 1 species